rnacentral:misc_RNA from 1 species
AUUCUUUCAGGGUGACUCUUUCUCUUCGUAGACUUUGAUCUGUAAUUUGUACUUCGCGCUGUGUGUUGAUCAAAUUUCCCAUGAACAAAGGAAGCCUUUGAUUUUCACAACGUGACAAUGGAUAUUUGGAUUUGGUUUUGUUAUCUUGUGUUCUUGAAUUCUUAAUGGCUAACACUGAAUUGCUCUUUUUUUACAUGUAGCUACCAAGGGUUUGUUUCUUCUUGUCCAGAAUGAUGGAGAGGAUCCUCUGAAAGUGAAUGACACAAGCAUAGAUAUUGACAUUACUAUCCCAGAGAUACAAGUACUUAAACACCAGGCCAAAAAGAUUGCUGGAGGAGCAUGGGUCUGCUGUAAGAUUGGGAAAAAUGAACAGCAUGAUGGUGGAGUUCCAUGUCAGGAACUAGAAAUGGAGCUACCGGCGUGCCACUCGGCUAAUGACAAGGAAACGGCAGUAGGAUGGAAUCAAGGUUGGGUUGGUGACUGGGUUGAGCAACAGGAAGU